rnacentral:lncRNA from 1 species
ACGACGUCUCCGUCCUGCUCCAGGAGAUCAUCACAGAGGCGCGAAACCUCAGCAACGCCGAGAUAUGCUCCGUGUUCCUGCUGGACCGGCUGAGCCACGAGCUGGUGGCCAAAGUGUUUGACGGCGGUGUGGUGGACGACGAGAGCUACGAGAUCCGCAUCCCGGCGGACCAGGGCAUCGCCGGGCACGUGGCCACCACCGGGAAGAUCCUCAACAUCAAGGACGCCUACUCGCACCCGCUCUUCUACCGCGGCGUGGACGACAGCAC